rnacentral:misc_RNA from 1 species
GAUGAAGAACGUAGCGAAAUGCGAUAAGUAAUGUGAAUUGCAGAAUUCAGUGAAUCAUCGAAUCUUUGAACGCACAUUGCGCCCCCUGGUAUUCCGGUGGGCAUGCCUGUUCGAGCGUCAUUAUCCUCCCUCAAACCCCGGGUUUGGUGUUGGACCCAAGUUGUGUGAACAACUGGUCUCAAAGACAAUGACGGCGUCCGUGGGACCCUCGGUGCAACGAGCUUUUAGGAGCACGCAUCGAGUUGCAAGGACCUUCCGGGCCGGUCUCCUUUACCAUUUUACAAGGUUGACCUCGGAUCAGGUAGGAAUACCCGCUGAACUUAAGCAUAUCAAUAAGCGGAGGA